UUAAGCGACUAAGCGUACACGGUGGAUGCCCUGGCAGUCAGAGGCGAUGAAGGACGUGCUAAUCUGCGAAAAGCGUCGGUAAGGUGAUAUGAACCGUUAUAACCGGCGAUGUCCGAAUGGGGAAACCCAGUGUGAUUCGUCACACUAUCGUUAACUGAAUACAUAGGUUAACGAGGCGAACCGGGGGAACUGAAACAUCUAAGUACCCCGAGGAAAAGAAAUCAACCGAGAUUCCCCCAGUAGCGGCGAGCGAACGGGGAGCAGCCCAGAGUCUGAAUCAGCUUGUGUGUUAGUGGAACGGUCUGGAAAGUCCGACGGUACAGGGUGAUAGUCCCGUACACCAAAAUGCACAGGCUGUGAACUCGAAGAGUAGGGCGGGACACGUGGUAUCCUGUCUGAAUAUGGGGGGACCAUCCUCCAAGGCUAAAUACUCCUGACUGACCGAUAGUGAACCAGUACCGUGAGGGAAAGGCGAAAAGAACCCCGGCGAGGGGAGUGAAAAAGAACCUGAAACCGUGUACGUACAAGCAGUGGGAGCACCUUCGGGUGUGACUGCGUACCUUUUGUAUAAUGGGUCAGCGACUUAUAUUCUGUAGCAAGGUUAACCGUAUAGGGGAGCCGCAGGGAAACCGAGUCUUAACUGGGCGUUAAGUUGCAGGGUAUAGACCCGAAACCCGGUGAUCUAGCCAUGGGCAGGUUGAAGGUUGGGUAACACUAACUGGAGGACCGAACCGACUAAUGUUGAAAAAUUAGCGGAUGACUUGUGGCUGGGGGUGAAAGGCCAAUCAAACCGGGAGAUAGCUGGUUCUCCCCGAAAGCUAUUUAGGUAGCGCCUCGUGAACUCAUCUUCGGGGGUAGAGCACUGUUUCGGCUAGGGGGUCAUCCCGACUUACCAACCCGAUGCAAACUACGAAUACCGAAGAAUGUUAUCACGGGAGACACACGGCGGGUGCUAACGUCCGUCGUGAAGAGGGAAACAACCCAGACCGCCAGCUAAGGUCCCAAAGUCAUGGUUAAGUGGGAAACGAUGUGGGAAGGCACAGACAGCCAGGAUGUUGGCUUAGAAGCAGCCAUCAUUUAAAGAAAGCGUAAUAGCUCACUGGUCGAGUCGGCCUGCGCGGAAGAUGUAACGGGGCUAAACCAUGCACCGAAGCUGCGGCAGCGACACUAUGUGUUGUUGGGUAGGGGAGCGUUCUGUAAGCCUGCGAAGGUGACCUGUGAGGGUUGCUGGAGGUAUCAGAAGUGCGAAUGCUGACAUAAGUAACGAUAAAGCGGGUGAAAAGCCCGCUCGCCGGAAGACCAAGGGUUCCUGUCCAACGUUAAUCGGGGCAGGGUGAGUCGACCCCUAAGGCGAGGCCGAAAGGCGUAGUCGAUGGGAAACAGGUUAAUAUUCCUGUACUUGGUGUUACUGCGAAGGGGGGACGGAGAAGGCUAUGUUAGCCGGGCGACGGUUGUCCCGGUUUAAGCAUGUAGGCUGGUUAUCCAGGCAAAUCCGGAUAAUCAAGGCUGAGGUGUGAUGACGAGGCACUACGGUGCUGAAGUAACAAAUGCCCUGCUUCCAGGAAAAGCCUCUAAGCAUCAGGUAACAUCAAAUCGUACCCCAAACCGACACAGGUGGUCAGGUAGAGAAUACCAAGGCGCUUGAGAGAACUCGGGUGAAGGAACUAGGCAAAAUGGUGCCGUAACUUCGGGAGAAGGCACGCUGGUGUGUAGGUGAAGUCCCUGCGGAUGGAGCUGAGACCAGUCGAAGAUACCAGCUGGCUGCAACUGUUUAUUAAAAACACAGCACUGUGCAAACACGAAAGUGGACGUAUACGGUGUGACGCCUGCCCGGUGCCGGAAGGUUAAUUGAUGGGGUUAUCCGUAAGGAGAAGCUCUUGAUCGAAGCCCCGGUAAACGGCGGCCGUAACUAUAACGGUCCUAAGGUAGCGAAAUUCCUUGUCGGGUAAGUUCCGACCUGCACGAAUGGCGUAAUGAUGGCCAGGCUGUCUCCACCCGAGACUCAGUGAAAUUGAACUCGCUGUGAAGAUGCAGUGUACCCGCGGCAAGACGGAAAGACCCCGUGAACCUUUACUAUAGCUUGACACUGAACAUUGAGCCUUGAUGUGUAGGAUAGGUGGGAGGCUUUGAAGCGUGGACGCCAGUCUGCGUGGAGCCAACCUUGAAAUACCACCCUUUAAUGUUUGAUGUUCUAACGUUGGCCCCUUAUCGGGGUUGCGGACAGUGUCUGGUGGGUAGUUUGACUGGGGCGGUCUCCUCCCAAAGCGUAACGGAGGAGCACGAAGGUUAGCUAAUCCUGGUCGGACAUCAGGAGGUUAGUGCAAUGGCAUAAGCUAGCUUGACUGCGAGCGUGACGGCGCGAGCAGGUGCGAAAGCAGGUCAUAGUGAUCCGGUGGUUCUGAAUGGAAGGGCCAUCGCUCAACGGAUAAAAGGUACUCCGGGGAUAACAGGCUGAUACCGCCCAAGAGUUCAUAUCGACGGCGGUGUUUGGCACCUCGAUGUCGGCUCAUCACAUCCUGGGGCUGAAGUAGGUCCCAAGGGUAUGGCUGUUCGCCAUUUAAAGUGGUACGCGAGCUGGGUUUAGAACGUCGUGAGACAGUUCGGUCCCUAUCUGCCGUGGGCGCUGGAGAAUUGAGGGGGGCUGCUCCUAGUACGAGAGGACCGGAGUGGACGCAUCACUGGUGUUCGGGUUGUCAUGCCAAUGGCACUGCCCGGUAGCUAAAUGCGGAAGAGAUAAGUGCUGAAAGCAUCUAAGCACGAAACUUGCCCCGAGAUGAGUUCUCCCUGAGACUUUAAGUCUCCUGAAGGAACGUUAAAGACGAUGACGUUGAUAGGCCGGGUGUGUAAGCGCAGCGAUGCGUUGAGCUAACCGGUACUAAUGAACCGUGAGGCUUAACCUU
rnacentral:rRNA from 1 species